rnacentral:tRNA from 1 species
AUAGGAAAAGGACUCAAACCUCUGUAAAGGGGACUACAGCCCCCUGCUUCACUCUCAGCCACCCUACCUG